GACGAACGCUGGCGGCGUGCUUAACACAUGCAAGUCGAACGGAAAGUCCCGGCUUGUGUGUUGUGCUCGAAUGUCGAACGGGUGAGUAACACGGGAGUAGCCUGCCCUUGACUAUGGGAUAACUUCAGGGAACUAGGACUAGUACACGAUAAGAACUCCUUCUUCAUAGUUGACUUUUGAAAGUUUCGUCGGUUGGGGAUGGACUCGCGUCUUAUCGGCUUGUUGGUGGGGUAGUGGUUUACCAAGUCUUUGACGGGUAGCCGGCCUGUGAGGGUGAGCGGCCACAUUGGGACUGAGAUACGGCCCAGACUCACACGGGAGGCAGCAGUGGGGAAUAUUGCACAAUGGGCGGAGGAAUGAUGCAGCAACGAAGCGUGCGGGAUGACGGCAUUCGGGUUGUACACAGCUUUCGCCUGUGACGAAGCGUGAGUGACGGUAAUGGGUAAAGAAGCCCCGGCUAACUACGUG
rnacentral:rRNA from 1 species